AGAUGUCAGUGUCGUGACCAGGGAAAAAAAGAAGACUGGGAUGUUCAGAGCGGCGAGAAACUUGCUCGCUGGACCCGUUGCGAUGACAUCGCAAACCCGUAACGUAGCAUUUUCUCGGUUGUGUACGAUCCUUCCUAGAUGUCGAUGUCGCGAGGUGCUGCGUUUUGCAAUUGGCUGCGCACACAUACUGUAAAAUUGAUUUUAAAUAUGUUCUAAGCUGUAUUUGCCGUUGAUAUUUUGCAGACGAUGUAUGUGUGCCCACAUAAAUGAAUCUUGCAUGUUAACCCGACUUCGAAAUUUUGUGUCGGUACUCCUUUAAUGUCUGAAGCUGCUUAGGUCACUCAAUAUAUGUGAUAAAUUUGUGGUUAUUCUGCAGAGUCUGUGGAAACCUCGGCACCAUUACCAUUGGAAGAUAUAGGCGAUCUUCAUUGUGAGGAGGCUGUAGAUUUUGAGCACGCCACCUCAGACUUUGUGAUAGGCUCCAGAAGAGAUGACGGAAAGGUUUAUGCAGGCAGUGGCUUCUGGUUGGACCAGAAAGCCUGGGACUGCUUGUUUAGUGCCUCAACGGACUCUAUGUUCUGCAGAAGCGCUGCUACUGUGUUGUGGACUGCAGACCAGUUAAA